AAAAGUCUAAGAUAAGUUGUUUAAGUCUGCUAAGUUGUCUACUUUGUUGUCUCUUAGGAGGGCUUUUU
rnacentral:tRNA from 1 species